rnacentral:tRNA from 3 species
GCCUCUAUAGCACAGUGGUAGUGCGUGUCACUCGUAAUGACAAGGUCGAGUGUUCGAUCCACUCUAGAGGCA